UAAGAUACCUCGGGGGGCCUGACAGGCUGAGAUGUGCGCGCACGGACCCGUUGAACCUGAACCGGUUAACACCGGCGGAGGGAAGGUCUGGAUACACCUC
rnacentral:ncRNA from 20 species